GGAGAGCCGGAGACGACGCGGGGCAGUCCUAGCCGUCAGGACGGGGUGGGUGUUCGUGUCAGGGUGCUGGUGGUGGUAGGCGCACGUCUUUCCCUCCUCGAACUUCUAAAUCGACAAAACUAGUCAGAAUGAAGCAGAGAGGAGGAUGCUGCCCGGCUUGACCAUCUGCCCCCCCCACCCCGUGUUGCCCACUCGGACUGGCAGCAGCUCUUCGAGGUCCCAGCCAGAGAGAGGUCUGCCUUCCAAGCCACCUGCUGCUGCUACCUUUGCCAAGCGGAGAUACAAGUGGAGGACUCUGCACUUCUGAGCUGAAAACUUCAGCACAUAGUUUGACAUACCACAGGCCUCUUAGUGGCAUGAUUUAGGUGCACCACAGCUUCCCAUACUAAACUGCAGAGGAACGCAGUGGAAAUGAUGUCAACUGCAUGGCACCAUUAAGGAAUGGCCAUUAUACGGCCACCUGUGCAGGGAAAUUGCUGGGGAUGCCUAUAGGUGCUUCCAUGGAAACUAUGAGUGCCCCCUGACCAUCAGUGUUUUAUAGAAAGGAUUCAUGUGCAUGGUAGAACUUUAGGUUUUGCAGUAUUAAGGUGGAUUAAAGCGCUCUGUGACCCUAGUGCAACAAAUCCACUUCUUAAAAAUAUAUGGGCGUCUCGCCGUUUGGACCAUGAUGAGGAAAUGCAUUGAAAAGUUUGGGAAGAACAGAUGAUGAAUGGGAAAACAUGCAAAUACCCUGACAGUAAGGAGAUCAGGGUGACUUUUGCUUAAUGUCAGGUGACAGCAGUUUUGCAAUGAAAAAAAUUGCAUAUUUUUUGACAUUCUUCAUGUGCAGUGACGUAGCUUCAACACCUGCAUCCAUCAAUGCCACAAAUUCUAAUUAUGUAACUGACAUUAGCAAGAUGUUCAGACAGAACAAGGAACACCCAAACAUGACUGGACAGGAUCUGCUUGAAAACUUGAAGAGCUGCACUUAAUUGCAGCAGGCAAGACUACUUUGUUUUUUAAAAUAUAUUUGCUUGAUUACUAAAAAGUAUUUCCCAUUUACAACAUCUGCUUGAACACAAAAUAUGUUCAGUGAUAUUUUAAACAUUUCUUUGUGCAUUGCUUAUUACUUGCUGGUAAUUACACAUUAGUCAGUGUACAAUUUCAUCGUUCUCCAGUCAAAAUAAUUUCCCUCAUUUCAACUGAUCUCCAUUACUAAUUGA